ensembl:lncRNA
CAAUAAAGAAAAACAAACAAACAAAAAGUUUAGCAAGCUUUUCCUACAUCUUCCACUAAGUUCAGUAAAUAAUUCAGAGAAAAUAAGUUCAAAGAAUAUCCUAAUUCUUCACUGAAUUCUUCUGACAGUCUGUUAACAAACAGGUAAUAGUUAAUUUACUGUUAUUUAGGAUAAUUGAAGUGGUUUUGUUUAUUUAUUAUUUUAUUUGCUUAUAGAACUAGCACCACAGUAUGAAUCUUGUACUGCCUUAUGUCAUAUGAGACUCCACUCACAGUACCAAUUUAACAAGUUGGUUACAUAUUACAGAAUUUGUGGUGUGUUACUAAAUACAUAGGUGAAACAGAGUGAGCAAUGUCAAAAUGAAAUACUCCUGUGUAUUUAAGUAAGUAUCAAUAAUAUUAUUUUUCUUAUUUGUUCAAAACUGGAACUUUACAUAUGAAGGUACAAAUGUUAUCUCCCUUAUUUAUUUUAUUUUAUUUUAUUUUAUUUUAUUUUAUUUUAUUUUAUUUUAUUUUAUUUUAUUUAUGUGACCGCUGCUUGAAAUGAUAUCAUUGGCAAAAUUACACCUAUACUUUAUACUGUUAAUAUCUCUUAUUUUAUAGCCAAUCCCAAUUCAUUUUAUUAUUUACAUUCUUAUGUCAUAAGACAGGCAAGGAGCACAAUAACAGCCAUUAUUUAAGGAUUUAUUGAUGAAAUAUUUUGCAAAGGGUAGUAAAAGAAAAGCUUUCAUACACAUACAAACAUAUUUUGAUUUUAAAAGUUGAAAAUUGUCAAGUCUGAUGCAAAUUGAAUGAAGGAAUAGUAGCAUUUGGUUAUAUAUCUCCUGGCAGCACUGUGGAAAUUCUAUCUUGGUAAUAAAUAGUGUUAUAUAAAUGACAUCUAGAUUUUUAAAUGUAAUAUUAAUCUAUGUCAGGCACGCUAAGUUAUCAUAAACACCUUUUAUGUAUACACACACAAAAUUUAAAAUAACAUGAUGUUUAUCAUUGUGGAUACUGACAUUUAAUAAUUCAAUAUUAUUGAAAUUGAAUUAUUUAAAGUAAAAAUAGAUUGAUAUAAUUUUAGGGUUUUGGGGGUUAUAUUCUUCUAGUUAAUUCUCUGUUGCCAAAUAUUUCAGGUUUCCACCCCAUUGUUGAAGUAACUACACAGGAAAAUGCCCUUUUGUAGACAUCCCAGCACGAAACACAACUGUAAUUCUCCGUAACUCUGAUCCAGUGAGAUAGUGCACUUCCUCAUUUCCAGAUGAAGUCAGGACUGUCACAGAUCUAGAAUCAAUCUGACAGACAGAAAGCUCAGACAUGGAGCUUUGUGCAUGAAAACAGCAGGAAAGCAGAGUAUGCAGAGCUAGAAAACACAUAUGACAUCCUCAUCUAGGAGAAAAUGUCUUCUUUUCCCGAAAUUCCUUUCUGCAAAAUGGUGAUUUGUGUAUAAAAUCUUCAUGAAAGUUGUGAUCCAACUGACUUGGGUUUUGACAUAUAGAACUUCCAGGUAAAUUUUUGUAUUACAAAAGUUUUAUUAAUUUUGAGGAGGUGCAAGCCGUGCAAAAUUUAGUCUCAGUUCUUUGCAUUUGUUUACUAACAGAUAAAAGAACUAUACUUUUUCACCAGUGUACAUUUAUAUAAAAAAUAUAUAAACAAAUAUAAAUAAAUUUAGGUUUGUUUUCUGUUAGUUUAUCUAUAGUUUAUGUCAUAAAUGUACGGAGAGUUUAUCAGCAUCAGUAUAAAUCUUUUCCAACCUAUCAACUUGUUUCAGUUAAAAUAUAGUGGAAGGUUUUUCUAAAAUAGUAAACACUUAAGGUUUCCUGCAAAUUGGUAGCAGGCAAGAAGUAGGGAGAUUUCUUUAUUUCCUCUGAUGAGGGAGAUGUAGGGAUGACUCAGACAUUAUUGUGAAGGACUGAACAUACAUAGCUGUCUAGCUCAUCUUACAGCUAGUGCUUCUGCGUGGCUUCGGUAUGUUCUCUCUUGGCCAGUGUACAGAUCAAAGGAGUAGAUAGAGAUAUGAGGAGAAAAUGGGGAUUAGUGCUUGAGGGCAUGGCCUAAAGAUCUAGAUGGAAAAGAGAAUGCAACUGGAAUAUUAGUGGAAAAUACAUCAGAAAUUUACAGAAAACAAGUAAUAGUUUAAUUGCUCAUGAAAAGAGUGCUCGAGUUUGCCCUUUCUUAUUUCAUUUUUUUAGGCUAACCAGUCUGUAAUAGUUUUUCUUGCUCUUGGCUACGUGUCACAUGAACAGCUGGUAUAUAUUGCUUACAAAUAACAGCUCUGAAUGAGAGAGAGAAUGAUUGUAAAUUUGAUGCAUACUCCUGUCUCAUCUCUUCCAUUGAUUCAGAUAUGAGCAAUGUAAAAUGAUUUUUUUUUAAUUGCGUUUGUACAAUGGACAUUAUUAAGAAAAUCUCUACAGAACAACGUUAUGAACCUGUGUAGAAAUAUUAUUACUUCUGCAUUGUUGGGAAUCCAAAACAUCUGGAUUAAAUGUGACUGAAUGCUGAUGGAGUUAUUGCUGAAAUUUCAGGAUCCUUGUUAAUCACAAUAACGUUGGUACAUUCAGAAUUUUACUUCUCUUGGUAAUAAACUGAGUAUAUAUGGUCUCCUGGUCCCUUUUUAACUCCUUUCCGUCUUCUCUUAUAUUAAACUCAUCUCUGUAUCUUGAUGUCAUCACAGCACAUAAGCUUAAACAAACUGAUUAUAUUGCUUUCUUGCAAUAACUUUUCCAACAUCAGAACUGUGUUUAUAUUAUACCUGGAACUACUCAAAAAGCUCUAGGUACCUUAAUCUCAUUAGUAAUUAGUUUCACAGGCUACAUCUUUGUAAGUCCAUCUUGCUUUCUUCCACUACCUUAAGAGUAGCAUCCUAAGAAGGAUGCAUACCUCCAGAAAGCUGCAUUUUUUUUACUCUCUCUCCCACAUGCAUGCUAAUGGAUUUCUACUACAUUUCAUUUAAAAGUCUACAUUUCAACAUAUAUGAAUCCACUCUCAUAAAUGAUUCAUAUUCUUAAAUAAUUCUGUAUUUUGAUUUCAAAAUUCUUUGCCUGUGUGUCUAUAGCAAAGGAUGAAUGUGAAAUUGUUAAUUCUAACAUACGUUGAGGAAGGUGAAAUAAAAAAAAUGCCCUUUUUUGAUAUACAGCCUAGUGGAAAAUCAGUCACUGUUAUUAAACUGUGACUGACUUUACAUCAUGAAUAUGUGAAAAAGUAUUUAAACUUGAAGAAAAAAAAUAACAUGGAGGGUAGAAAGUAAAGAAGAAAAUCCUGCUGUAUUGGAAGAGGGAUUAGUGUGGUCCUAAAAUGUCUCAGUAACCUAGACAUUUAGAUCUCAGAAGGCCUAUGAGAGGAUAUUUUUUUUGAGGCUUAAAAUGUAGAGUUGGCAAAUGUAAACCUAUUCCUAAACACCAAAUAAAAACAUCAACAAGGAUUAGAACAUGAUAAAUUUCUCAAGAUAAAAGCAGUAGAGAGACAGCUGGUCAACAGCUGUGAAAACAGAAUUAAAACUUGCAUAAAUUGUAAACGAUAUUCCCCAAACCAAACUUGAAUCCAAAUAAUACAAUAUGUAUAAUCUCAGCACAGGAUUCAAAUUGGGUCAACAGGACACUGUGACGGAUUCUGUGGAUGACUGCCAGCAUACCCAGGCAAUUGCAGCCCAUUGACCAAUGUCAAACAGUUCAAGUUUGCUUUCCCCACAGACUCUGUUUUUUCAAAUAAAUAUAUCUUGCAGUAUAUGAGCCAGUAAUUACUCAACAACAUAAAGCUGACUGUAAGAUUUGGAGCUUAAAGCAAAUCGCAUUUAAUCGUAAUUCAAUAUGGCAUGUGAGUGAUAAGAGUAAGGAUUUCAAACAUACAUAGGAUUUAGAAGAAUGAAGGAAGGACAAAUUCUGGACAGUAUCAGAAUUAGUAAAAGAAAAUGUUAAAGGGUAAAAGACUAACAUAUACGAAUGUGUUGGUUUCCUUAAGAAAAGAAAUAUUUUUUUUUCUGUAUGUUCUACAUAAUGUCAGUUUAUUUGAAAAAAAAAAAUCUAUAUAGUUGUUAAGUCCAUUCUAUUAUUAUUAUUAUUCCAGUUGCAGACUGGAUUUUUAGUAACUGUUUUCUUUAUCUAUGCAGAAAAAAUCUAGAACAAUAGAAUGGCUUGGGUUGGAAGGGAUGAUCUAGUUCAUAAUGUGCUGCCAUGACAGAGGUGCACCCAUUAGAUCAGGUUGCCCAGGUACCCAUUCAACCUGACGAUCACCUCCCUCACCCUAUUCAUGAUCCUUUUUUUGAUGCAGCCUGAGUUACAGUUGGCCUUCUGGGCUGUAAACACACACUGCUGGCAAAUGUCCAACUUUUAAUCCACUAGAACCCUCAAGUUCUUUGCCAGACUGCUCUAAAUGAAUUCUUAUCUAGAUCUGCAUAUGUAACUGUCCUGACUCAGGACGUUGCACUUAGCCUUGUUGAACCUCUUCAUGUUCACAUGGGUCUACUUUUCCACCCCGUCCAGCUCCUUUUGGAUGGCAUCUAUUCCUUCUCUUUUGUCAGUUGCACCACACAACUUGACGUCAUCAACAGAUUUGCCAAGGAUGCACUCAGUCCCACCAUCUAUAUCACUGAAAAAGAUGUCAAGGAGCACCAGUCCCAAGACAAACUCCUGGGGGACACCACUCAUCAGCAGCCUCCACUUCAAUGUAGAAGCACUGACAAUAGCCUUCUGGCUUUCAUCACCCAACCAAUUAUUUAUUCAUUGAAUAACCUAGACUUCAACCCAUCUCUCUGUAAUUUAGAGAUAAGGGUAUGGUGUGGGACCAUGUUAAAGACCUUGCAGAAAGUAGAUGACAUGUGUUUCCCUUCUUUUGUACAGUGAUGUUGUAACUCUAUAGUAGAAGGCAACUAGAUCAGUCAGGCACAAUUCGCCAUUGGUGAAUCUGUGCUAGUUCUCAUAGAUCAUCUUCUUGUCUUGCAUUUGUCUUAACAUAUCUUCCAGGAUAAUUUGUUCCAUGUCCUUCCUGGGCACAGAUGUGAGGCUGAAUGCCCUGUAGUUCCUUGAGCCUCCCUUUAUUUCUUUCUUAAAAAUCUAGUCACCAGUCAUUUGACAACCUUGAGGAGAAUAGCCUGACAACCACACCAGACAAUUCCUUCAGGACCCUGGGAUACAUGUCAUCUGGCCCCACAGACUUGAGCUUAUUCAAUCUUAUGAGGCAGUCUUGGACUUGCUCUUUGUUACAGUGGGAGUGUUUUUCUCCUCCAACCCCUGCGCAGAUGUUCAGGGGUAUGAGAGACAUGGAUAGCAUGGCUGCCAGUGAAGACUUAGCCAAGGAACUAGUUGAAUAUCUCAGCUUUCUCCAUUUCUGUUGUUGUCAGUUAGUAAAUACAAGUGGGACAAGAUGUGGACUCAGUCUCAAGAUUGUCUGUCCUGUUUAUAUGUUAGUAUGCCCUUUGGCAUUGGUUGGGCUAGUACUGCUCCAGGCAGUGCCUCAGAAUAGCAAGAGCAGAGCUGUUGGUCUUAGCAAUUUGAAUGUGACUUCUCAGUUCAUUAAGAUAGAUCUAGUUAACAGGAGAGAAAGAAAAGUCCUGAUGUCAUUAUUUAGUCAAUUUGAAGUCAUCCCUCUGAUCAGAAUUUCAGGUUUAGUGGCCUCUCAACUACUGUUGAUGUUGGAGUUCCCUUGUCAUUCUGAUUGAUUACGAUUUCUAUGUUAUUCAUUUUCCUUUUUGUUCUGGCCAUUUAUUCUCUUUCUUUCUAGAGGAAUGCCAAGAGAUCCUUCAUUUUCUGCCUCUCUAUUCCUGUGAAAUUAUUUCUUAUGAAAUUAUCUGCCCUACAGUUAAAUUUUAUCUUAUUAGCUUUUUGUGACUCACAGGUCUUUAUCUAUAUUCUUGAUCUGCCAAACCGCUGUCCAGCCUCACAUUUCUGUUUCUCAGACAAUUUCUAUAUUAUUUGUUAAUGUAUCAGUAACAAAUUAUCAGGAUAAGGUAAAUCCCUCAUGCUUCAUAAACUCAUUCUAUCUUCUAGGCGUUAUCAAACCUGCAUAAUUCAUAGUAUUAUAAUUUUCCCCUAACCACCACUUCCACUAAGGCUGUAAAAAAUGAGAAAUUGAUGUUUACGGCAUUUUUUGUUUCCUUCUUCUUGUAAGUUCCACUGUUGUAUGAGUAAUAUAUUGAAUUUUCUCUGGUUUUUGCUUUAUUACUAUUUGGUUUAAAGGAGAUUUAAUAAUUGCUUAAACAUUCUAAAAGCAGUAGUCAGUCUUGCAUGCAUUAUCUAUGGGUGAUUUCAUAUGAAUAUCAAAUAUGAAAAAUACAACUUCAAGUCUGACUACUAUUGAGAACAGAGGAAUAUUUGUUUAAACAAUGACCAUCUAUAACAAACCGUAAAAGAACUAAUGCACCAGGUUUAUAGAAGAAAUAUGCAAUACGUAUCAAAUCUUCCUCAUGUUAGUACCACCAUAUUUGUCAUAGAUGUCAUGGUAACUGUUGAUAAUUCUUAUGAUAUUUUAGUUUAUAUCUUGCCUCUGUUUAGAACCAUAACAAAAUUUGUCCAGUGAUUUAAGAAGGCUGUCUCCUUUCUAUAUGUGCAGUUUGGCUGAAAAUUAAUACUACUGAAUUUCAUGAGCAAUAGUAUUCCAUUACAUUUAGAAUAAAGGUGAUAGGAAAAAAAAAAAUGUGUAGUUUAUAGAAUGGUGUCAGCUGAACCAAGAAACUGAGAACAAGUUAUCUUGCAGUUUCCCACAGACUGCUGAAAGCAGUACUUAUCUACAUUAAACUGAUGAUUAUAUUGAUGAAUUCAAUUUUUUUUACCAUAGCCUGGGUUACUGUUGAAAAAAAAAAAUCACUAAAAAUUCAUAGGAAUUUAUUUGCAGAGGUAAUUAAUACAAGAAGUUACAACUAGAUUUAAUUCCAAACAGCAGAAUAGGAUUUCAAUAUGAAAAAUUAGGAAAUAUGUUUAAAAUAAGUUAAAAACAGCUAAGUAGAGUUUAGUUUUUAAUAAAUUAGUCUUGGUAGAAUCUGAAUUCAUAAAAAAAGAUAUCUGUGGGGAUAAUAUUUUAUUUUAUUUUAUUUUAUUUUAUUUUAUUUUAUUAUCUUAUUCUGGAAAGAAUAAGAAAGCCAUUACUUGACUUUCAGCCAUCUUAAGUGAUUAGUUAAGAAUGAACAAGCUUUUUUUCCCCCAAAAUUUUAACACCCAUGUACUAUGUGAACCAUAUUACAAUUUAAUAUUCUUUUGUGUUUUGAACUAUCAAAGCUUACCCUUUACCUUGGAAGUAAGCUAUCAUCUUUUGCUUUUACUGAAGAAUAAACAGGAGGGGAAAAAAGUAAAUUCUACCAGCAUGCUGAAAGAAUAAUUUAAUGUAUUUCAUCAGAAUUAAAGGAAAAUGGAAUUCAAGAAAGAAUUCUGGCAGAAAGUGAUCUCUAAUGAGCAAGAUUACUUACUGUGUGACAGUAUAGUACACUAUUAUUUUAAAAAGUGCUAGUGAUUAGAUUAAUAAGAAAAACUUUAUUAAUAUCUAUGUAAAUUUAUGCAUACACUAAUUGGUAUACUACAGUAAAUUUUAACUUAAUUAAACAAGAGUUUCAAACAAUAUUCCAGUUACUUUGAAUUUUCCAUCUUCCUCCAAAAAAGCCAGUUGUUAUGAGACUAUGCCUAAUGGCUUUAGGAAAACAUUAAAGCCUUUGAAAUAUUUACAAAUAAGUAGUGCAACCAUUUGUGAUUAUUUUUGUUGUAUAUAAAGAACUUGGAUAUAGGAACACCCAGUGAGCGAGUGUCAAAGUUUGUUUUGGGGGAUGACUGCUCAGCCUCCCAUUGACAAUGGCUGAGAUUCCAGUUGUUAAUGAGACAGGAAUGUAAGCAUAAUAGCGUCAGCAGAGCACCUGAAACUGAGGGCAUUCUGCUUGAAUGAAGUUAUUCUGAAUUACGUAGUAUUUACAUAUAAGUACAUUAAUUAGUACUUUUCUGUAUUUCAUUUUAUAUACUUGUAAGAGAAGAAAAAGGAAAUCCUGUUCUUAGGAAAGCCAAAUGAGGAUGCGGAUAUUGUUGAUAUUUUUAUUUACUUCAGUUCUGAUUCUCUGGGACAGGUUAUACUGGUCUCCAGCUGCUAAUAACCAAUAUUAAAUAAAAAUGUCUCAUGAUGAGUCUAGGCUGUCAUCUGGGAUUGGAUGGCUUUGUUUUCCUGCAAUCAUGGCUCUCACCUGAGAACCGUGAUUAUUUUCCCUCAGUUUGACCAUCAGGCCUUUGCUCAGCCAUUCUUGCCUCCUCUGCUUGAUUUCUUAUGCUAGAGGAGGGAGAGCUCUUGUGUUCUCAGAAAAGUAUCCUGACAGAGCUGCCAUCUUCUCUGUUCUAUUCCUUUUCCCCCAAGGACAGUCUGCUAGGGGAUUUCACCCAAUAAUUCCUUGAGCAGUUGAAAUUUCACUCACUUGAACUUCAGUGUCCCAACUCUGUUUUUUUACAGGCCAUAUUCCUCAAAGUCAUGGAACUUGACCAGGUCAUGGUCACUACAGCCCAGACUGCCUCUAAUCUUUACCCCUCUGAUGAUAUCUUCUGCAUUGAUGAUCCAGUAAUGCUUCAGUUCUUUUUGCUCUGUCCAAUACAUGAACCAGGAAUUUAUCUUCAGUGGACUCUAGGAAUUUCUUGGAUAGUUUGUAGCUUGCUGUGGUGUUUUUGUUUGUUUGUUUGUUUGUUUGUUUGUUUUUGUUUUGUUUUGUUUUCUUCCCCAGAGAUAUCUGGGUGGUUGAAAUCAGGAUGAAAGCCUGCAAGAGCGAUCCCUCUUUGUUGCUGAAGAAGAAGGCUUUUUCCACAGACUCCCCUGCUCCGCCUGAUGAAGUAGCCUGUAGAAGACCCCAACCAGUGGACAUAAUUUGUUGUUUCCAAGAAAAUACAUAGGAGGAAUUACUUUCAAGGUGACAUAUGCAGUUCAAGACAAUUCCUCUUCUCUCAGUGCAGUCCUGACAAGCCAAAAGGUUGGACGCCCAUGGACUACUGCCUCUCUUUUGUUAUGAAUGACACUGGAAAAGAAGGCUGUCAAGCAAGUACUGUCACAUGUGGAUUAUCAGUUUGAGAGGAAGACACUGAAAGGCAUAAGAUUUCAGAAUAAUCAUACAAUCAAAGAAUCAUUAAGACCACUGAAAAUGUCACUAAGAUCAUCUAGUCCGACCAUCAACCCAUGAUCACCAUGUUCCCUAAGCCGUGUCUCUAAGUGCCAUGUCUACAUGUUUCUUGAAAACCUCCAGGGAUGGUGACUCCAUUUCUUCCCUGGUCAGUUUGUUCCAAUACAUUAACACUCCAAGAAGAAAUUUUCCUAAUGUCCAACCUGAACCUCCCCUCGUGCAACUUAAAGCCGUUCUCUCUCAUCCUAUUGCUGUUACCUGGGAGAAGAAUCCAAUCUCCACCUUGCCACAAUUUCCUUUCAGGCUGCUGUAGUGAGCUACAAAGUCUCUCCUGAGCCUCCUCUACUCAAGACUUCACAAUCCCAGUUCCCUUAGCCACUCCUCAUAAGUCUUGUGCUCCAGAUCUAAUUAAAGGGAAUAUUCUCAUUAGACAGUACCUUAUUUAUAGAUAAUUAAUUGUAUAGGAAUAUAAAAUCAGAUAAUCUAUUUUCUUCCUUCAGAGAAAUUAUUUUUCUGGUUUAUUUUUAGAUAUUUUGACUGUCUAUAUUGUUGGGCUGAACUUGCCAAACUUCAUAGUAUCCAUAUACAUCCUAAGCCCACAGGUCUAGCCCAUCAGACCAAUUUAAAGGGGAUCAAAAAGUUGUCUACAUGCUCAGCACCAGAAUCCUGAGUGAAAUAUAUGUGCCAGGACUUUUUUGUUAAGAGGCUAUAAUGAUUUAUUUAUACAGUUUGCUACUUUUGGAGAAAUUCUACAUGUUGUUAAUAUGUAUAAAUUUACAUUUUUCAGUACUUAAGAGAUUUUAAUUUUUAUUAAAGCAUAUAAAAAUUGCAGAUGUAGCAGAUUUUCUAAGAUACAGCAAGUUAGCAACUUUUUCCUGGAUUCUUUUUGUACCAUACUUUCUUAUAUUAUUGUAGAUUAUAUGGCACAAAGCACUCAUCUGAGAAGCUUGAAAAAUAUUAAAGAUAUUACUUGAAGUUAGAGAAUUACCCCCCAAAUAUAUUAUUUUAUAGAAGUGAUAGAAUUCUGUACAUAUAUGUAUAAACAAAUAUAAAACUUACAUAAAUUUAAAAUAUAUUCCAUGUGUUUGUAUGCAUGUACAUAUAUAUAUGCAUAUAUAUAUAUAUGGGGUACACAUAUACUCCAUGGAAAAUUCAUAAAUACUUCCUCAUAUUCAUACAAAAAUGUAUGUAUCAUAUUUGAAUUAUUAGAGUGCAAGAUGCUGAAUAUUUUUUAGAGAGCAUAAAAUGUAUUUCUUGUGACUGAAAAAAUGUGACUGGAAAAAUGUGAUCUAAAAUGAGGAAUUAGCCAAAUAUUUCAGAUUCAGAAAGAGCAUAGCAACCUGUUGCUGCUAUCAGUAAAGCUGGAUAGCAUGGUCUUCCUGGAAUGGAUUCUGUACAUGGUUAAUCAAAUAGUCAUUAAUUCAAAUCCUCUGAAUUACUGUGAAAAGUGAAUUCAUGUACAUAUCUUUUCUCUCAAAAGGAAGUUGCCUACCUUGUAUCCUGUGAUAAAGAUUUAUUCUAUUAAAACCAUAAAAGGCUCACUGAGCAAAAUGGGAGAUUUGUGAUCCAUCUUAGAGUAAUUUUUUUUCUACCUUUUUAGUGAAAAUACUAUCAUGCUUUCUAUAGACAUACAGAAUAUACUGUCAGUGAAUUCACUGUCACAGUGAAUUAACCCCCUUCUCAGAAGCUCGGUGUACCCUUUUUGAUAAUUUGAUAAUUUGUGUUUCAGUAAUUGCUGCUGGGGCACUUUUGUAGGCCAUUUAUAGUUUGCUGUACUUGUGUUAUUCAAUAUUCACAUAAUCAAUAAGAAACAUUAGCACAUACAUACAGGACACAUCUAAGGCAUGAUCCUAUUGAAGAUUUUUAAUUAUGGAGAUUUCUAAAACUGCCUUUAAAUCCUCUCCAGAUUUUCAGAUAAAUAAACUUGCACAAGAUACAGCAACAAUGACAUACCAAAAAAAAAAAAAAAAAAGGUCUUUUAAUCAAAUCACAGUGUAAUUACUCUCUAACACUCAAAUCACCUCCAUUAUUUAAAUAAACUUUUAAGAAACUGCUGGUAUAGUCUAGGACUGCAAAGAGUCAUUUAAACAGAAAGGUUUUAUGAGUUCUUGCCUGUCUUGGCAAGAAGGCAGUGUGCUCACAUUUUACAAGAGUUAUAGGAGAUAUUUUGAAAAAAAAAAAAAAAUGGAAAUCUUUGAAGAAUGCAUAUACUGUGAAAGCUCUCCAUAUCAGAAGUAUUGCUGCCUUGCAAUAUUUACAGUAAUACUUCUGGUCUGCUGUGCACCUUUUCUGCUUAGCAAUUAGACAUGGUAUUUAUCAUGAAAACGCACACAUUUUUAAUGUUUGAUAUACAAUUGCACUAAAAAACGAGCCAAAUUGAGCCAUUAAAACAAUCUAUCUAUUCAUCAUAACUUCUGUAUUUCCAUUUGCUUCUGUCUUGAAUGUUUGCUAUUUAAACAGCAUUAUCAUAAAGAUUCUAUAGAAAUUAUUGUUGAAUUUAGGAAUUCAUAAAACAGUAUUACAGUUUGUUGAGAUUUAUUUAGUAGUCUUCAUGAAUGAAUGUAUUUUUUCUGUUGACAAAUAAGGCACUUUUUUUUAAAGUAAACUGUAAUAAAUGCCCUUUUAUUAUAUAUAUAUAUAUAUUUUGCUAAUACACGAAGUUAGUAUUCUUUCUCUGUUUGAAUUGGUUUGCACUGCUUGAAUGAAUUGUACAUGCAAGAAGAGAAAAAAAAUAUAUUUAUUAAACAUAGUUUAAGCCACAACAUCUAUUUCUAAUUAUGAAAAAAAAAAAUCAGGACAUAUACGAGUGUAAAAUUUUUUGAACAAUGUAGGGUUUCCAUUAUCUCGCUCCAAUUUAUAGGAGGGAGAGGAGGUUCUUUGUAUAUGGUAAUUGCCAGGGAGAAGCAAGGACAGACAAUCAGCAGGGAAUUAUAUCUGCGAGAUAGCUGGUUUCAUCAGCUUUGACAACAUCAACUUGAUGAAGACAGAGACACAGCUUUGAAGGAGAGCAUCUCCUCCUUUCUCUACCUAGUGGCUACUCUUUGUUCAAGAGACCUCACGACAAAACAAAGUGCCAGUGCACAGAUGGUAUCCAGAUAACCAUAGUGGAGGCAUGACUAGAGAAGAACAGCCAUCCGGCUGAGGAUGACAGACAACAUCAGAGGAUGGCUAUACAUACCGGACAUGAUCCAUCCUAGGGUUCAUUGGAAUAGACAUCACUACAAUUAAAUUUGACAGAGAAGUGUUGCAAAGAAAAUACUGAAACUUCUCCAUUGUUUCUUGUAUAUUAAGUGUAUAAGAUGUCCCUACUCUUCACCUGUUCAGGUAACUCCCUUGCAUGCAGAGGUCCUUUCAGGCAUCUCAGCCACACACAUUGCUCUUACAGCCAAGUGGGUGCUGUGGUAGGCUACAAAGAAUGCUGCCAGGAUGGAGUUUGGAUGGAGGGAAAAAUUCUUAUAUACAGGUAUAUGAAGACUCAAGCUCAGGAACUAUUCACCAUUUGUGUAUACUGGGCUGAAAGUUUGGUACUUUUACAUUCAGAUGGAUAGAAUAGCUCAAUAUCCACAUCGGGGAGCUCAACUGUUUUGGUGGAUACUAAAAUUGAUCUUUAGAGAAUUUAAUGAAGUAUGAUUAAAACAGAGGCAAAGUGAGAGUAGAAAGUGCAGUGAAAGCAUAGACUAUAAUCAAUUUUAAUGUUUUCAGUAUGGAUCAAUAUUCUAUAUUUUUCUUCUACUAGGGAGUACUCUAUCCAAUUCCAAUAACUCAAAUACACAAUCAUUAAAUUCUAUACAAUAAAUUACACAUCUUACAAAUACAAAGAGUAUUACCAUCAUAUGGAGAUAAUGAUUUAAUACUGGCUUACAGGAAAUGAUAUUACCUUUCCAUUCAACAGCAGUAUUCCAGAUAAAGUCAUUUGUAGUACUGGGGCUACACACAUACACGUCAGUAACCAUGUAAUCUAUAUUUGCAGUGUGAACUUCUAUAUUUAUUUUGCUGCUCACCUGUUCAUCUUGCCUCCUGCCAGGUACUAUAUUAGGGAUGAGAUUUAUUUUCAGAAAUCUGACAUGCUCUCCAUAUAUCCAUUAAUAAAUUUCAAACAAUUACUACUUAGCUUUAAUUCUAGAAAGUUUUAUAACUUCACUCCUCUUGAAUCUUUUAUUUAAAGAAAAAAUGUUAAUGUUUAAUAUAUAGGAUUAAAAAAAAAAAAGUAUUUUUAUUAUCCUUUACAAUGUUUGUCUUCUUCAUGCCUACACAAUAGUGGUAAAUUCUGUUGGUAUAUAUUCAAAAACAAACAGACAAAAAACCAACAUUUUUUACAUAAUUAAAUAUCAGAAGAUUUAUCAUUGGAACUGGAGGUGACAUGUAACCUUGCAGAAAAUUCAUAAUUAUUUUGAGGAUCUAAUGAAGAAAAAUUUCCAUGUGUUUUUUUAGUUUUUCCCUCCUGGGAACCUGAAUUUAGGAGAGACUUGGUAAAAACAGAUACGAAUGGCAGCUGACAAUGAAUGUAAUCAGAGAAAACAUUUAAUGACUCAAGUUUGUUUGUUUUUUCAGAUUUUUGCUAUUAUUCGUUUGAGCUACUUGAACAGUAUCAUAUGACUUAGAUACAGUUACAGAAUUUUUUUAGCUGGCUUGCAUAACAUUUCUCUACUAAAGUUAGGACCAAAUCUGGAAUCCAAAUCCAAACUCAAACCUACAUACACUCUGGGAUUUUUAUUUUGAUUCCAGCAAUAAUAUCCACAUAGUGGAAGUAUUUACUUCUGCUACAAUCAUGCUUGAUUGACUACAUAUAUAUUUUUUUGAAACUAUCAAG